CACCAGCGCCACAAGUGGGGAUCAGUAUUAUUGGGCCUAAAGCGUUCGUAGCCGGAUAUGUAAAUCUUUUGUGAAAUUGUCAGGCUCAACCUGACAGCGCGCAGAAGACACUGCAUAUCUUGAGACCGGGAGGAGUAAGAGGUAUUCGUGGGGUAGCGGUAAAAUGCAAUAAUCCCUCGAGGACCACCAGUGGCGAAGGCGUCUUACUAGAACGGGUCUGACGGUUAGGAACGAAAGCUAGGGGA
rnacentral:rRNA from 1 species